GGGUUGUGAGGUUAAGCGACUAAGCGUACACGGUGGAUGCCCUGGCAGUCAGAGGCGAUGAAGGACGUGCUAAUCUGCGAAAAGCGUCGGUAAGGUGAUAUGAACCGUUAUAACCGGCGAUGUCCGAAUGGGGAAACCCAGUGUGAUUCGUCACACUAUCGUUAACUGAAUACAUAGGUUAACGAGGCGAACCGGGGGAACUGAAACAUCUAAGUACCCCGAGGAAAAGAAAUCAACCGAGAUUCCCCCAGUAGCGGCGAGCGAACGGGGAGCAGCCCAGAGUCUGAAUCAGCUUGUGUGUUAGUGGAACGGUCUGGAAAGUCCGACGGUACAGGGUGAUAGUCCCGUACACCAAAAUGCACAGGUUGUGAACUCGAAGAGUAGGGCGGGACACGUGGUAUCCUGUCUGAAUAUGGGGACCAUCCUCCAAGGCUAAAUACUCCUGACUGACCGAUAGUGAACCAGUACCGUGAGGGAAAGGCGAAAAGAACCCCGGCGAGGGGAGUGAAAAAGAACCUGAAACCGUGUACGUACAAGCAGUGGGAGCACCUUCGGGUGUGACUGCGUACCUUUGUAUAAUGGGUCAGCGACUUAUAUUCUGUAGCAAGGUUAACCGUAUAGGGAGCCGCAGGGAAACCGAGUCUUAACUGGGCGUUAAGUUGCAGGGUAUAGACCCGAAACCCGGUGAUCUAGCCAUGGGCAGGUUGAAGGUUGGGUAACACUAACUGGAGGACCGAACCGACUAAUGUUGAAAAAUUAGCGGAUGACUUGUGGCUGGGGUGAAAGGCCAAUCAAACCGGGAGAUAGCUGGUUCUCCCGAAAGCUAUUUAGGUAGCGCCUCGUGAACUCAUCUUCGGGGUAGAGCACUGUUUCGGCUAGGGGUCAUCCCGACUUACCAACCCGAUGCAAACUACGAAUACCGAAGAAUGUUAUCACGGGAGACACACGGCGGGUGCUAACGUCCGUCGUGAAGAGGAAACAACCCAGACCGCCAGCUAAGGUCCCAAAGUCAUGGUUAAGUGGGAAACGAUGUGGGAAGGCACAGACAGCCGUGAUGUUGGCUUAGAAGCAGCCAUCAUUUAAAGAAAGCGUAAUAGCUCACUGGUCGAGUCGGCCUGCGCGGAAGAUGUAACGGGGCUAAACCAUGCACCGAAGCUGCGGCAGCGACACUAUGUGUUGUUGGGUAGGGGAGCGUUCUGUAAGCCUGCGAAGGUGACCUGUGAGGGUUGCUGGAGGUAUCAGAAGUGCGAAUGCUGACAUAAGUAACGAUAAAGCGGGUGAAAAGCCCGCUCGCCGGAAGACCAAGGGUUCCUGUCCAACGUUAAUCGGGGCAGGGUGAGUCGACCCUAAGGCGAGGCCGAAAGGCGUAGUCGAUGGGAAACAGGUUAAUAUUCCUGUACUUGGUGUUACUGCGAAGGGGACGGAGAAGGCUAUGUUAGCCGGGCGACGGUUGUCCCGGUUUAAGCAUGUAGGCUGGUUAUCCGUGCAAAUCCGGAUAAUCAAGGCUGAGGUGUGAUGACGAGGCACUACGGUGCUGAAGUAACAAAUGCCCUGCUUCCGUGAAAAGCCUCUAAGCAUCAGGUAACAUCAAAUCGUACCCCAAACCGACACAGGUGGUCAGGUAGAGAAUACCAAGGCGCUUGAGAGAACUCGGGUGAAGGAACUAGGCAAAAUGGUGCCGUAACUUCGGGAGAAGGCACGCUGGUGUGUAGGUGAAGUCCCUGCGGAUGGAGCUGAGACCAGUCGAAGAUACCAGCUGGCUGCAACUGUUUAUUAAAACACAGCACUGUGCAAACACGAAAGUGGACGUAUACGGUGUGACGCCUGCCCGGUGCCGGAAGGUUAAUUGAUGGGGUUAUCCGUAAGGAGAAGCUCUUGAUCGAAGCCCCGGUAAACGGCGGCCGUAACUAUAACGGUCCUAAGGUAGCGAAAUUCCUUGUCGGGUAAGUUCCGACCUGCACGAAUGGCGUAAUGAUGGCCAGGCUGUCUCCACCCGAGACUCAGUGAAAUUGAACUCGCUGUGAAGAUGCAGUGUACCCGCGGCAAGACGGAAAGACCCCGUGAACCUUUACUAUAGCUUGACACUGAACAUUGAGCCUUGAUGUGUAGGAUAGGUGGGAGGCUUUGAAGCGUGGACGCCAGUCUGCGUGGAGCCAACCUUGAAAUACCACCCUUUAAUGUUUGAUGUUCUAACGUUGGCCCCUGACCGGGGUUGCGGACAGUGUCUGGUGGGUAGUUUGACUGGGGCGGUCUCCUCCCAAAGCGUAACGGAGGAGCACGAAGGUUAGCUAAUCCUGGUCGGACAUCAGGAGGUUAGUGCAAUGGCAUAAGCUAGCUUGACUGCGAGCGUGACGGCGCGAGCAGGUGCGAAAGCAGGUCAUAGUGAUCCGGUGGUUCUGAAUGGAAGGGCCAUCGCUCAACGGAUAAAAGGUACUCCGGGGAUAACAGGCUGAUACCGCCCAAGAGUUCAUAUCGACGGCGGUGUUUGGCACCUCGAUGUCGGCUCAUCACAUCCUGGGGCUGAAGUAGGUCCCAAGGGUAUGGCUGUUCGCCAUUUAAAGUGGUACGCGAGCUGGGUUUAGAACGUCGUGAGACAGUUCGGUCCCUAUCUGCCGUGGGCGCUGGAGAAUUGAGGGGGGCUGCUCCUAGUACGAGAGGACCGGAGUGGACGCAUCACUGGUGUUCGGGUUGUCAUGCCAAUGGCACUGCCCGGUAGCUAAAUGCGGAAGAGAUAAGUGCUGAAAGCAUCUAAGCACGAAACUUGCCCCGAGAUGAGUUCUCCCUGAGACUAUAAGUCUCCUGAAGGAACGUUGAAGACGACGACGUUGAUAGGCCGGGUGUGUAAGCGCAGCGAUGCGUUGAGCUAACCGGUACUAAUGAACCGUGAGGCUUAACCUUACAACGCCGAAG
rnacentral:rRNA from 1 species